UGGGGAAUUUUACGCAAUGGGGGAAACCCUGACGUAGCGACACCGCGUGAGCGAAGAAGCCCUUUGGGGUGUAAAGCUCUGUCAACAGGAACGAAACAAAUGACGGUACCUGUGGAGGAAGCAUCGGCUAACUACGUGCCAGCAGCCGCGGUAAGACGUAGAAUGCAAGCGUUGUCCGGAUUUAUUGGGCGUAAAGAGUUCGUAGGCGGUUUGUUAAGUCUGAUGUUAAAGACCGGGGCUCAACCUCGGAAAUGCAUUGGAUACUGGCAGACUGGAGUGCAGUAGAGGCUAGUGGAAUUCCCAGUGUAGCGGUGAAAUGCGUAGAUAUUGGGAAGAACACCGGUGGCGUAGGCGACUAGCUGGGCUGUAACUGACGCUGAGGAACGAAAGCCAGGGGAGCAAAUGGGAUUAGAUACCCCAGUAGUCCUGGCCGUAAACGAUGGAUACUAGGCGUAGUGGGUAUCGACCCCUGCUGUGCCGCAGCUAACGCGAUAAGUAUCCCGCCUGAGUAGUACGGCCGCAAGGUUGAAACUUAAAUGAAUUGACGGGGUCAUAGCUGUUUCCU
rnacentral:rRNA from 1 species